UAGUUGUUCUUACGAAAGAAGCGGAGUAAAGCUUGCCGUGAGAAGUCAGCAGACGCCAUAGUAGUGCAACAGUCGAUAACGUUGCACGAAGGGC
rfam:Prevotella sp. CAG:5226 genomic scaffold, scf929